ACCUGCCCGGCGGCAGCGGCGGCGGCCACGGCGUUGGCCGCGUCUCCGCAGCCGGAAGGUUCGGCUGUUUCAGGCCGGCGGCCCGACCCCUCCUGGGCCAUGUCGGCCCAGGGCGACUGCGAGUUCCUGGUGCAGCGAGCCCGCGAGUUGGUGCAGCAGGACCUGUGGGCGGCCAAGGCGUGGCUGAUCACGGCCCGCAGCCUCUACCCCGCCGACUUCAACAUCCAGUACGAGAUGUACACCAUCGAGCGGAACGCGGAGCGCACCAACCCCGCGGGGAGGCUGCUGUACGACAUGUUUGUGAAUUUCCCAGAUCAGCCGGUGGUAUGGAGAGAAAUCAGCAUUAUCACAUCAGCAUUAAGGAACGAUUCACAGGAUAAACAAACCCAAUUUUUAAGAAGUUUAUUUGAAACUCUUCCUGGUCGGGUCCAGUGUGAAAUGUUACUCAAGGUCACGGAACAAUGCUUCAACACCUUGGAACGAUCAGAAAUGCUGCUGCUCCUUCUGAGACGCUUCCCUGAAACAGUGGUGCAGCAUGGGGUUGGCCUUGGGGAGGCACUGCUAGAGGCUGAAACCAUUGAAGAACAAGAAUCUCCUGUUAACUGCUUUAGAAAAUUAUUUGUUUGUGAUGUCCUUCCUCUAAUAAUUAACAACCAUGAUGUUCGGUUGCCUGCCAAUUUAUUAUACAAGUACUUGAACAAAGCAGCUGAAUUUUAUAUCAAUUAUGUCACCAGGUCUACUCAGGUAGAGAAUCAGCAUCAAGGUGUGCAGGAAACCUCUGAUUUAAUGUCACCUAGCAAACGUAGCUCUCAGAAGUACAUAAUAGAAGGAUUGACUGAAAAAUCAUCCCAGAUUGUGGACCCUUGGGAGAGGUUGUUUAAGAUUUUGAAUGUUGUUGGAAUGAGAUGUGAAUGGCAGAUGGAUAAAGGAAGACGAAGCUAUGGUGAUAUUUUGCAUAGAAUGAAGGAUCUCUGCAGAUACAUGAACAACUUUGAUAAUGAAGCUCAUGCAAAAUAUAAAAACCAAGUGGUUUAUUCCACUAUGUUGGUCUUCUUUAAGAAUGCAUUCCAGUAUGUCAAUAGCAUACAGCCAUCUCUCUUCCAAGGUCCUAAUGCCCCAAGCCAAGUUCCACUGGUUCUCCUGGAGGAUGUAUCAAAUGUGUAUGGUGAUAUAGAAAUUGAUCGUAAUAAACACAUACAUAAAAAGAGGAAACUGGCAGAAGGAAGAGAAAAACCCAUGCAGAGUUCCGACGACGAGGACUGUUCAGCCAAAGGAAGGAAUCGUCACAUUGUCAUCAAUAAAGCAGAACUUGCGAACUCAAUUGAAGUGUUAGAAAGCUUUAAGUUGGCCAGGGAGAGCUGGGAGUUGCUCUAUUCCCUAGAAUUCCUUGACAAGGAAUUUACACGAAUUUGUUUGGCAUGGAAGACGGAUACUUGGCUUUGGUUAAGAAUCUUCCUCACUGAUAUGAUCAUCUAUCAGGGUCAAUAUAAAAAGGCAAUAGCCAGCCUGCAUCACUUAGCAGCUCUCCAGGGAUCACUUCCUCAGCCACAGCUCACGGGACAGGGAACCUUGGAGCAUCAGAGGGCGCUCAUCCAGCUGGCCACCUGCCACUUUGCUCUAGGGGAGUACAGAAUGACAUGUGAAAAAGUCCUGGAUUUGAUGUGCUACAUGGUGCUCCCCAUUCAAGAUGGAGGCAAAUCACAGGAAGAACCUUCCAAAGUAAAGCCCAAAUUUAGAAAAGGUUCGGACCUGAAGCUUCUGCCUUGUACCAGCAAGGCUAUCAUGCCGUACUGCCUGCAUUUAAUGCUAGCUUGUUUUAAGCUUAGAGCUUUCACGGACAGCAGGGAUGACAUGGCUCUGGGGCAUGUGAUCGUAUUGCUUCAGCAGGAGUGGCCUCGGGGAGAGAAUCUUUUCUUGAAAGCUGUCAAUAAGAUUUGCCAACAAGGAAAUUUCCAAUAUGAGAAUUUUUUCAAUUAUGUUACAAAUAUUGACAUGCUGGAGGAAUUUGCCUACCUAAGAACUCAGGAAGGUGGGAAAAUCCAUCUGGAAUUACUGCCCAAUCAAGGAAUGCUGAUCAAGUUUGAGGCUGGGUAUACAAACAUAGCUUUUUCGUUAAUUCCCACUAACACUCAUCGUACAAAUUAUAAUAUAUAGACAGCCUUAGUAGAACCAACUCCAUUUACUUAGGAGUAAACUUACAGAAGAUUCUCACUUUGCUUCAAGGGUGGGGAACCUUUUUUCUGCCCAGGACCAUUUGGAUAUUUAUAACAUCAUUCGCAGGCCAUAAAAAAUUAUCAGCUUAAAAAUUAGCCUGCUGUAUUUGGUCACUCAAUUAACUCACCCCUAAUGUCUUGACAGGGCCAGACCAAAUUAUUUCGCAGGCCUUCUAUGGGCUGGACAUUCCCCACCCCUGGUUUAGAUACUGCUUAACUGUUUGUGGAAGUGGGAAAGAAUAGAUUGCCAAAAAAUCACCAGUUGAAUUUCAAAGUUUAUUUACACUGAAUCUUUCUUUUUUAGCCAAUUUUUACUGAGCUAAACAGUGACGGGUACAUGCAGACAACCCCUGAGAUAGGGGGCUUGGACACCCACAUAAUAAGGCAAAGCGUUGUUUAGGAUACACAGCAUGUAUUUCUAGGUUUUGGGAGGUAACUCCAUGCCCCUGCUGUGGUCAACAUAACCCUUAAUUUCUAGACCCUAAACUUCGCAGGAAACCUGUUUGAAAGCAGGAAUAAGAUUGCUACUUAGUGAGCUGCCCCUGUAGGAAUUUGCCCAGUCGUCACUAAGUGAGUCUCAAAGCCCAUUUGAAGCCUGCAUUUCCAAUUACUUAUGCCUAACCUACAGCGGGAGAAGCAAGCGGCAUAAGCCAGAGCAUUCUUGCCAAUUGAGGCCUACUAGCCCUCCCAUGGGGUUACUGCAGCAGGAAUUCUUACCUGUGCUUCAGCCCAGCAUACAGACUGCUGACAGGCACCACACGGUCACUCGGGGCAUCACCAAGGGCGUGAAGGAGGACUUCCGCCUGGCCAUGGAG